UNNCCCACCGUCAAUCUGGGGCCUGAACUGGAGAUCAGCUGUGGAUCUCCAGAAGAGGGACUAGUGGUUAGAGGAGACCCCCCGGAAAACGCAAAACAGCAUAUUGACGCUGGGAAAGACC
rnacentral:lncRNA from 1 species